ACGGCUCCCCGGCUAGGAACAGAGAUGCCCUUAGGGAGCCCUCUGAUGGAAGAGCUCUCCGCUUAAGAAGGUCACCACUCCCUUACACUCAGCCCCCCUCAAUCUGAUUCCCUGCUAUGCCUGCCAUCACCACUGGCCAGUUUUACCACAUGCUUCUCAAGACCCAAGGCACAAUAGGCAUAAAGUUGUCCUGAAAAGGACAAGAGGAGUGUCAGAAGUAGGAAUGGCAGUUGAAGGAGCUUCGUCUGCCAGCAGAAAGCUGAAAUGACAGGCAAGCACAAAAUAUAUUAAGGAGACAAAGCUAUGCAUGAGCGAAAUAUCAAACUUUCAUCUUCUACCCACUUUUUUUUUUUUUUUUUGCUUAAAAACAGGAAGACAGAAUGUCUUGUCAAGGGUCACCCCAGGAGGAGGAGUAAAUUCCCCAAAAAGCGGAACAUAUUUUUAUGAUUUAAUUAAUACAAUUUCUCUCAAUGUGUCUGUUUAUCAUUUGAGCAUCCACAUGAUCAGACCUGACAUCUGCCUACAUUUUCUUGGUCGUCUUUGACUUCAGUUAAGAACCUUUUGCUCUUUGUUUUCCCCCAGCAGCACAGUAUAUUAAGUUUGGAACAAGACACACCUGAAAUCAAAUCCCUGCUCUGUGCUGGGUGAUCUUAGAGGCAGUCUUUUACCUCUUUCUACUUUAUUGUUCUCAUAGGAAAAGUGGAAAUGAGGCCUUUUACCCCAGGGUUGUUGAGAAGACAGAGGAGAAAAAGCACAUAAAAAUGCACCUUGUCGGGCGUGGGGCUCACACCUGUAAUCCCAGCACUUUGGGAGGCUGAGGCAGGUGUAUCGCUUGAGGCCAGGAGUUCAAGACCAGCCUGGCCAACAGGAAAAAUACAUUAAAAAUAAUGUCUCUAUUAAAAAUACAAAAAUUAGCCAGGUAUGGUGGUGCAC
rnacentral:lncRNA from 1 species